rnacentral:misc_RNA from 1 species
GUGAAUGUACUCUUUAUGAGGCUUUGCGCUGCCCUUGUGGCAGCUAGCCGAAGGUUUCGCAAGAAGCCGAUGUCAAUUUGAAUCCUUUUUAAAAUACGACUGAUCAAAACUGCAGAUAGAAAUAUCUGCAUGCAAUUGAAAUACAACUUUCAACAGUGGAUGUCUAGGCUCGCACACCGAUGAAGAACGCUGCGAACUGCGAUACGUAAUGCGAAUUGCAGAAUUCAGUGAGUCAUCAAAAUUUUGAACGCAUAUUGCACUUCCGGGUUAGUCCUGGGAGUAUGUUUGUAUCAGUGUCCGUGAACACAAACUUGUUUCAUUUCUUGAUUGGGAUGGAGCAGACUGUGAAGGUCUUGUAAUUACAAGUCCUUUUAAACGACGGUACCUAUGCGUCCUAGUGAGAUGUAUUAUUUAAAGGUAUGCCUGCGCUCCUUUCGAAAGUCUUGUGUGGCGGCACACAGCACUCAAAGAGAGAGCAAAUCGCGGUAGUUUUGCUUGUACUUCGGUACGAGUGGACACAUAUUGCUUUUUGUGAUUUCUGCGAGUCUGUUGUCAAAGUACAAGGCACGUAAGGAGAGUUGGUAUGCUGGUGCAUUUCUUGGCGUAUGGAGGCAAAUUGGGAAUUCAAUCC